rnacentral:lncRNA from 1 species
CGGUUUUGGUUUAGGGUCUAGGAUUUGGGUUUACAGUUUGAGUUUAGAGUUUAAGAUUUGGGUUUAUAGUAUGAGGUUUGGGUUUAAGGUUUACUAUUUGGGUUUAGGGUAUAUGAUUUAGGUUUAGUAUUUAGGGGUUAGAUUUUGGGUUUAGAAUUUAGGAUUUAUGAUUUUGUUAGCAUCAUUCUUUUUCAACUAUUUUAAAAUUUUUAAAUAAAAUUUAAUAUCUUUUUAUUAAUUAUCUAGAUGGCACUUUGAUUGGUAGUAAGAGGGGUGGUGAAUUUAAAGUUUCAGCGCAUGGGGUGAACCUAAAUUUUAUCCUUUCAAAUAUGUGUAAUUGUUUGUGUUAUAGAAACUCGUGCGCGAUUUUGUAUGACCUCUUAUAAAAUCGCUACAGGAGAAUAACAAAUAUGUGAUUGAUGUAACAAAUCCGUUUUUAGUAAUUCCGCACUUGAAUCCGCACUUAAGUUGUCACCAUUCACUA